GACAGAAGGGAAAAGGCCCCGCGCGUCUCCACGUCAACAGGCCGGAAAGGCAGACAGAAGGGAAAAGGCCCCGCGCGUCUCCACGUCAACAGGCCGGAAAGGCAGACAGAAGGGAAAAGGCCCCGCGCGUCUCCACGUCAACAGGCCGGAAAGGCAGACAGAAGGGAAAAGGCCCCGCGCGUCUCCACGUCAACAGGCCGGAAAGGCAGACAGAAGGGAAAAGGCCCCGCGCGUCUCCACGUCAACAGGCCGGAAAGGCAGACAGAAGGGAAAACGCCCCGCGCGUCUCCACGUCAACAGGCCGGAAAGGCAGACAGAAGGGAAAACGCCCCGCGCGUCUCCACGUCAACAGGCCGGAAAGGCAGACAGAAGGGAAAAGGCCCCGCGCGUCUCCACGUCAACAGGCCGGAAAGGCAGACAGAAGGGAAAAGGCCCCGCGCGUCUCCACGUCAACAGGCCGGAAAGGCAGACAGAAGGGAAAAGGCCCCGCGCGUCUCCACGUCAACAGGCCGGAAAGGCAGACAGAAGGGAAAAGGCCCCGCGCGUCUCCACGUCAACAGGCCGGAAAGGCAGACAGAAGGGAAAAGGCCCCGCGCGUCUCCACGUCAACAGGCCGGAAAGGCAGACAGAAGGGAAAACGCCCCGCGCGUCUCCACGUCAACAGGCCGGAAAGGCAGACAGAAGGGAAAAGGCCCCGCGCGUCUCCACGUCAACAGGCCGGAAAGGCAGACAGAAGGGAAAAGGCCCCGCGCGUCUCCACGUCAACAGGCCGGAAAGGCAGACAGAAGGGAAAAGGCCCCGCGCGUUUCCACGUCAACAGGCCGGAAAGGCAGACAGAAGGGAAAAGGCUCCGCGCGUUUCCAUGUCAACAGGCCGGAAAGGAAGACAGAAGGGAAAACGCUCCGCGUGUUUCCAUGUCAAGAGGCCGGAAAGGCAGACAGAAGGGAAAAGGCCCCGCGCGUUUCUGUGUCCAGAGGCCGGAAAGGCAGACAGAAGGGAAAAGGCCCUGCGCGUUUCUGUGUUCUGUUACGGGGCUGGGGUGUGCAGUCAGGGUUUUCCUUUCCAACACUUUAUAUCAUGGCUUAUUUUCUUAAUAUUAGUAAAAACACAUUAAAAAUGAGUUCAAGUAGAAAUUAAUAGAGUAAGAAUACAUAACCUGGAUGUUCAUUUGCUCUCACUUUAUCCUUGCAAAACCAUCUGGAAUUUCUCCCCUGGUGCUUCCAAGGAGAUCAUAAUUAUAACGUAGAUCCUGGAAAAGACACCUCCCAACGAGGUGACAUUUGUGACCCCUUGGAUCAAGGUCAGCCCUUACAGUAUGCUAUUUAAGUACUGAAACACAGUUUCCUGCAAAACCUUCCAAGUCAAUAUACACAUCUGUUGCUUCAAAUCAUUUAAACAGCCCUGUAAAUGUAGCCAAAUGUCCUGUUUUAGUGGGCUCUGGCUUGCCCCCAGCAGGGGUGGCUGCAGUAGUUAGUUGAGGUCCACUUGGUCCAGGUUUUUAAUUUGUAGCAGUAUUGGAAGGGUUAUUUAAUAUAGGAGUUUUAAAGCUAUAAAAUAUAUAGCCAAGAAAGACUGAGUUUUGAUGUAUGCAUACAAUCCCAAACUCCUUAAUACUAAAAAUCAAGAGACUAAAACCCUUAAGCUUCUGUUCCCAGGAGAUUAUAAUGGUUUCACAAAAGCUCCCAUGUUUCUGUUUAGACCCUGAGAAGGGCUCUUUCCACCAGAGAAGACAGAGGUCCUUGGCCCCACCUCUGAGGUGGGCACAGCCUCACCCAGCCCAGAUGGCUCUCACGGCCAGGGCCAAGACACGUCCUGGCUGAAGGCCACCGUACACAGCAGCAGGGCCCCUGAAAUAUGAACUCAACAAAAUUGUAGCAUAGAGAACUCCGUAACAGUUAAACUCUGGACACCAAAUGAAAUCCACCAGGGACAAAAAUCUGUUUCAGUAACUACUGCCAACAUCGGACUUUCCCCUGCCCUGUGAUGGGGAAAAGAGGGCAAGUUAAGAGCCACCCUCCCACAACUUUGAGCUCCAGCAGCCACUGAAAAGAACCACCUUCCCCACAUGACACAGACAAGACUCACCAGUGACAGGGCCAGAAUCAGACCCUCUGCAUUCCCAUUUUUGUCCCACAGAUGUGUAGCUGAACUGCUUUGACUCCACUGAUCUAUCUUAAAAAAAUACUUGUUAGCCGAACUUCGACUCAGCUUCUCCUCUCGGCCAAGCCCACCCAUGAAUGCUGCGAUGGGGACCCCACCCUCCCCUCCAUCUCUUCCCAGUGGGCUGACCCAUUUCCUGCCCACUGUCCACUGCGCCACGGGCCCCUCCAUGCCUCACCCAGGUGUUCUAGGCUUGGUUACUCCCUCCUCCUAAAACAAAAGUGCUUUUCUGCCUGAGAUGCUUGAAGUUCUUUGGGGUCAGAGCAUUCACCCUGUGUCAUGAAGUCCCCUCCCUCUCUCAAAAUGAGAACUUCAGGUAAACUCUCUGCUUAAGCGAGUCUGGAUUUGUGUUUCACUGAAACACAGAGAAGACAGAGAGGACACUACACUGGCUGAGAACUACCAUACGUCCUUAAUAACAAUGAACAAUGAACAAGAGAGAGGGCCCCACGUUCUGGCAACAUGGCGAACCUGUGAACUAGGGAAGCCCUCCCAGCACAGAAAGUGCCAGGAAAAUAAAAACAAACAGAACAUUUUAAAAUUUAUGACUGUGUAAGUAGAAAAAUAAGGUGAGUCUUAGAGGUAUGAAUCUGUAAGAACAGGCAGCCUUGAUUGGCUGAGGCUGUGAUUUUCCCAGAAGGAAAAUGUGGCCGAGGCAUGGGGGUUCAUAGGUUUCACCUGAGGGCGGUGGAAAUGGCCUUUGUAAGUUUGAGUCCUGCAAAGGGGACAAUUACAGCAUGAGAAAAGGGGACAGACCCUCAGGAUAAUCACUCUGUUUGAAUUCUGGUGGAGGGGAAAUGAGACCAAAAAUAUCACUCCAGAGUCUUCCUCAACUCAGUGCUUUGAUUUGGGGUUCAAUUCAUGCUGUCUCUGUGGCCCAGCAAGCCCUAAUUCUAGAAUGGAAAGAUUGGUACCAGGUAGAAGCAAAAACACUCCUCUCUGGGGCAAAACACUUUAAAGAAGGCCUGGGCCACGUUCCAGGCCUUUAGGAGACUCUCCUAGGAAAGUGGGAUCUGAUUUGCUCCAGUCGUGGAGCCUGGGAAGGUGGUUCUGGGGGAAGGUCGUGCCUUUCUGACCAGCCUCUGAGAGCUGAGUCAAGAAGUUAGAGGAGAGCUGGUGCCUGGUUGGGCCUGGCCAGUAACUCCUGCAGGAACUGCAGUGAGGGCCGACCCUGAGCCCAGAAAGGUUCCCGAUGAUUAACAGGAGGCUCUGAAAAGUGCAUCAUUUAUUCUUAGCAUUGUCAAAUUGCUUGACCCAAGUCAGAGGUGAUUUUUUGGUUUAUUAUUUGCAAAGCAUCGUGCCUUUACCCUGCAGGGGCCAUUUCCCCUCACAAGGAAUGCAGCAAGGAGCUUGGAAGCAGACGGCUGUGGGGAAGGACCAGCAUGGGUGGGGGUGCUUUGAGAGGAGAGACAGAGGGCCUUUGCCCUUUCACCGGAGAGACAUGGUGCCACUAAGAGUUGCGAAGGGUAAAGAAUGUGUGAAGACACAGAUACCUUGGGGGACAGUUUUUCCUCUAACUCAGGAAUGAGGAUGGUUCAACUCACACUAUUUCAAGCCUUCCAAGUAAACAGUAGUUAGUAAAAACACAAUACCUGUCUCUAAUAUUACUUGCCUAAAUAUAUGGACAUAUGAAAAUGUAUCUCAAAAAAAUAAUCUAAAGAGAAGGAGAAAACUAUAAUAAAAGGUGUUUAUUGCAGUGAUAAAAAUAUCAAACAACAGUAGUAAAUGUAAGUCUUGCAGUCAAGCUUUAGGGUAUUGUUCAAUAAUCAAAAUAAAAUGUUGAUUAUGUAGCAACACA
rnacentral:lncRNA from 1 species